rnacentral:tRNA from 1 species
AGGUGGCUGAGAAAAUAGAAUAAGCGUUAGACUUUUAAUCUGAAAACGGUAUGUACUUUACCCCU